GACGAACGCUGGCGGCGUGCUUAACACAUGCAAGUCGAACGGAAAGGCCCUGCUUUUGUGGGGUGCUCGAGUGGCGAACGGGUGAGUAACACGUGAGUAACCUGCCCUUGACUUUGGGAUAACUUCAGGUAACUGGGGCUAAUACCGGAUAGGAGCUCCUGCUGCAUGGUGGGGGUUGGAAAGUUUCGGCGGUUGGGGAUGGACUCGCGGCUUAUCAGCUUGUUGGUGGGGUAGUGGCUUACCAAGGCUUUGACGGGUAGCCGGCCUGAGAGGGUGACCGGCCACAUUGGGACUGAGAUACGGCCCAGACUCCUACGGGAGGCAGCAGGGGGGAAUAUUGCACAAUGGGCGGAAGCCUGAUGCAGCAACGCCGCGUGCGGGAUGACGGCCUUCGGGUUGUAAACCGCUUUCGCCUGUGACGAAGCGUGAGUGACGGUAAUGGGUAAAGAAGCACCGGCUAACUACGUG
rnacentral:rRNA from 1 species